GGGGAGUCUUGAUAAGUUGAGAUGCUCCCUGAUUCAGUCUUCCUAAAAAGAAAUUCUGGGAUUUCCUGCUUGUGGUUCCUGAGCAUGUUCUGUGAGUCUCAAGUUACCAGAUACAUGU
rfam:Ipomoea nil DNA, scaffold: scaffold0688, cultivar: Tokyo-kokei standard.